rnacentral:lncRNA from 1 species
UCGUAGUGCCAGUCCUCCCAAGUCCAGUAGAGGUUAUCGACGUGCGUGAUCUUGCAUGUGUACGGUGGUGGUGCAGAAUUUUAUCAAAACGGGAGAAGUUAGAGCUGGGAUGACCGCAGCCGCCGUCGAGACCUACAAGAAAAGUCUAAAUUGGAGUUGGGGGUACUCCGGCAAGAUUCUCCGACGCUCAAGUCAGUACUCUGCUUCAACAGAAAUGGAGUGCUCGAGUGAAAAUUUUAGCAGAAUUUCGAGAUAGAGUUUUGAGCUUAGAGAAGAACGUAUCUGAGGGUCCCUU